rnacentral:rRNA from 1 species
AUGCCGUCGAUGUUCUGGGCAGAGGCACUCCACACGGCCACAUAUUUACUCAAUAUUCGUCCAUCCAAAGUUAACCCACAAACUACUACUUACUUCUCUUUAUUUCUCUCUCAUCCAAAUUACUCCGACAUUCGCGUCUUCGGUUGUCUUUGUUUUCCAAACUCCUACUCCAAUUCUCCUAACAAACUUUCCCCGCGCUCUAUACUGUGUGUCCAUCUAGGUUUUUCUGACGAGCACAAGGGUUAUCGUUGUCUAGAUCUUGUUAGUGGUCGUGUUCAUGUGUCUCGUCAUGUAACAUUUGCUGAAAACAUUUUCCCCUUUUCCGAGCGUCAACAAUUAGAUUCCAACUCACCCGCGCCGUCCACUGGUCCCUCUCGUCGCAAUCAUCUUCCCUUCUUUCACCCGCCGACCAAUCCAGCGAAACCAGCCGCAAUAGCAGAUCCUGCCACCACCACUUAUGUCAUCACCUCUGUCUCGGCAGAAGAAAACACAUUACACUCUGAUGCGGCAGACUUCCUGCAGCCGCAGUCUUCACCACCAUCCCCCGCGUCUGCUUCCUCUGCUGCGCCGGACGCGUCCACCACCUCUUCCCCCACCCCUCCUGCUCAUGCUAUUCCCGUUCCAGCUCCUACUAACGAUCAUACCAUGCACACACGUGCCAAGUCCGGGUUUCGUUUACCUGCAAAAGAUCGUCUCAAUCUUCAUGCAUCUUUAUCUCCUUUCUCUCUACCCAAAUCUUACAAAUCAGCUCUCCUAGAUCCUAAUUGGGCCGCAGCUAUGAAAGAUGAAUAUGAUGCCCUUCUACAGAAUAACAUUCCUCCUAUCCUAAUCAUGUUUGUCUUCUUCAAAAAUCUCUUUAUGGUCUUAAACAAGCACCACGUGCUUGGUUCCAACGUUUUUCUACUUAUGCUCAAACCAUUGGUUUUACCCCUUCCCGUUCUGACACUUCACUCUUCACCUUUCAUUACAACAACAACACUACUUACCUUCUUUUAUAUGUUGAUGAUAUUAUCCUCACAGCUUCCUCACAAUAAUUUUUAG